CCGCUACAAGACCAGUAAACACUCAUAGCCUCUGAGCCUCUCUCCAGCUCCUGCCAGCUUUUAUACAUCACAUCCUAACCUCCUCCAUCACACAAAAGCCACAACCAUUUCUUUACAUUGAGACUUAGCAUGACUUAAGCCACUGGUGAGAAGUCUGCUCAAAUCCUUAGAAACUCCACUGUCAACUAGAGCUAAGACAGUAUCUGCAAGGUCUUCAGAAGCCUUGUUGUCUACCCAUGUGGCCUCCAAGAAAUGCACUUGAGUGUUACUGAGGCAUUACUGAAGGAUUUACAGCCGCACCCUUGGCUUCCUCUCCAGCUCAACCCACAAUUUACUGGCAGCACCCUGGUUUGUGCCUUUGCUCUGAAGCCUGUUCUUCCGCAGAGAGCCUUCAGCUGUAACAGCGCUGCUACCUCCUUAGAUUUCCUAAAUUCUGCUCCAAAGUGGAACAGUGCCUUCCUUAGUUCCUUAGUUAACCGGCUCUUCUGCCUGACAAAGUCAGUUCGGAGAAGUUCCAGGCACUUUCAAUGCAUUGCUUGAAAAUUCUUUAGACAAGACUCUCUCCUGCCUGUCAGUGACGUGUCAGUGAAGGCAACUGCCUCACAUAGGCCGGUGUCCCAGGACCCCAACCAUGUUCUCCUCAAUGUUCCUCGGCUUCUACCUUCCAAGGGCCCCAAAGCAAAGGCCAUAGGCUUCUUCUGUCUUCUCUCUCCAUUCACCACUUCCAGCCUGAUGAUGAACGGAAGUGUGAAUUAAAUUUCCAGCCCCUGUUGCAUACACAGAAAUAAAGAAUCUCCCGCUGGUCUGUCCAACUGAACACAACGACCCUAACAGAGGACAACUUCAAGUGGAUUUGGCAUGGGAUGUUCUUCAUUCCUUUCGUCUAGACAACUCUGUUAAUUCUGGCAUCAAUGAGCACACUGG
rnacentral:lncRNA from 1 species